rnacentral:rRNA from 1 species
CAUAGGUUAAUGAGGCGAACCGGGGGAACUGAAACAUCUAAGUACCCCGAGGAAAAGAAAUCAACCGAGAUUCCCCCAGUAGCGGCGAGCGAACGGGGAGCAGCCCAGAGCCUGAAUCAGUGUGUGUGUUAGUGGAAGCGUCUGGAAAGGCGCGCGAUACAGGGUGACAGCCCCGUACACAAAAAUGCACAUGCUGUGAGCUCGAUGAGUAGGGCGGGACACGUGGUAUCCUGUCUGAAUAUGGGGGGACCAUCCUCCAAGGCUAAAUACUCCUGACUGACCGAUAGUGAACCAGUACCGUGAGGGAAAGGCGAAAAGAACCCCGGCGAGGGGAGUGAAAAAGAACCUGAAACCGUGUACGUACAAGCAGUGGGAGCACGCUUAGGCGUGUGACUGCGUACCUUUUGUAUAAUGGGUCAGCGACUUAUAUUCUGUAGCAAGGUUAACCGAAUAGGGGAGCCGAAGGGAAACCGAGUCUUAACUGGGCGUUAAGUUGCAGGGUAUAGACCCGAAACCCGGUGAUCUAGCCAUGGGCAGGUUGAAGGUUGGGUAACACUAACUGGAGGACCGAACCGACUAAUGUUGAAAAAUUAGCGGAUGACUUGUGGCUGGGGGUGAAAGGCCAAUCAAACCGGGAGAUAGCUGGUUCUCCCCGAAAGCUAUUUAGGUAGCGCCUCGUGAAUUCAUCUCCGGGGGUAGAGCACUGUUUCGGCAAGGGGGUCAUCCCGACUUACCAACCCGAUGCAAACUGCGAAUACCGGAGAAUGUUAUCACGGGAGACACACGGCGGGUGCUAACGUCCGUCGUGAAGAGGGAAACAACCCAGACCGCCAGCUAAGGUCCCAAAGUCAUGGUUAAGUGGGAAACGAUGUGGGAAGGCCCAGACAGCCAGGAUGUUGGCUUAGAAGCAGCCAUCAUUUAAAGAAAGCGUAAUAGCUCACUGGUCGAGUCGGCCUGCGCGGAAGAUGUAACGGGGCUAAACCAUGCACCGAAGCUGCGGCAGCGACGCUUAUGCGUUGUUGGGUAGGGGAGCGUUCUGUAAGCCUGUGAAGGUGUACUGUGAGGUAUGCUGGAGGUAUCAGAAGUGCGAAUGCUGACAUAAGUAACGAUAAAGCGGGUGAAAAGCCCGCUCGCCGGAAGACCAAGGGUUCCUGUCCAACGUUAAUCGGGGCAGGGUGAGUCGACCCCUAAGGCGAGGCCGAAAGGCGUAGUCGAUGGGAAACAGGUUAAUAUUCCUGUACUUGGUGUUACUGCGAAGGGGGGACGGAGAAGGCUAUGUUGGCCGGGCGACGGUUGUCCCGGUUUAAGCGUGUAGGCUGGUUUUCCAGGCAAAUCCGGAAAAUCAAGGCUGAGGCGUGAUGACGAGGCACUACGGUGCUGAAGCAACAAAUGCCCUGCUUCCAGGAAAAGCCUCUAAGCAUCAGGUAACAUCAAAUCGUACCCCAAACCGACACAGGUGGUCAGGUAGAGAAUACCAAGGCGCUUGAGAGAACUCGGGUGAAGGAACUAGGCAAAAUGGUGCCGUAACUUCGGGAGAAGGCACGCUGAUAUGUAGGUGAAGUCCCUCGCGGAUGGAGCUGAAAUCAGUCGAAGAUACCAGCUGGCUGCAACUGUUUAUUAAAAACACAGCACUGUGCAAACACGAAAGUGGACGUAUACGGUGUGACGCCUGCCCGGUGCCGGAAGGUUAAUUGAUGGGGUUAGCGCAAGCGAAGCUCUUGAUCGAAGCCCCGGUAAACGGCGGCCGUAACUAUAACGGUCCUAAGGUAGCGAAAUUCCUUGUCGGGUAAGUUCCGACCUGCACGAAUGGCGUAAUGAUGGCCAGGCUGUCUCCACCCGAGACUCAGUGAAAUUGAACUCGCUGUGAAGAUGCAGUGUACCCGCGGCAAGACGGAAAGACCCCGUGAACCUUUACUAUAGCUUGACACUGAACAUUGAGCCUUGAUGUGUAGGAUAGGUGGGAGGCUUUGAAGUGUGGACGCCAGUCUGCAUGGAGCCGACCUUGAAAUACCACCCUUUAAUGUUUGAUGUUCUAACGUUGACCCGUAAUCCGGGUUGCGGACAGUGUCUGGUGGGUAGUUUGACUGGGGCGGUCUCCUCCUAAAGAGUAACGGAGGAGCACGAAGGUUGGCUAAUCCUGGUCGGACAUCAGGAGGUUAGUGCAAUGGCAUAAGCCAGCUUGACUGCGAGCGUGACGGCGCGAGCAGGUGCGAAAGCAGGUCAUAGUGAUCCGGUGGUUCUGAAUGGAAGGGCCAUCGCUCAACGGAUAAAAGGUACUCCGGGGAUAACAGGCUGAUACCGCCCAAGAGUUCAUAUCGACGGCGGUGUUUGGCACCUCGAUGUCGGCUCAUCACAUCCUGGGGCUGAAGUAGGUCCCAAGGGUAUGGCUGUUCGCCAUUUAAAGUGGUACGCGAGCUGGGUUUAGAACGUCGUGAGACAGUUCGGUCCCUAUCUGCCGUGGGCGCUGGAGAACUGAGGGGGGCUGCUCCUAGUACGAGAGGACCGGAGUGGACGCAUCACUGGUGUUCGGGUUGUCAUGCCAAUGGCACUGCCCGGUAGCUAAAUGCGGAAGAGAUAAGUGCUGAAAGCAUCUAAGCACGAAACUU